rnacentral:rRNA from 1 species
UACAGAGGUGGCAAGCGUUAUUCGGAAUUAUUGGGCGUAAAGGGCGCGUAGGCGGCCUUUCAAGUGACGGGUGAAAUCCCCCGGCUUAACCGGGGAACUGCCUUUCAGACUGGGAGGCUUGAGACCGGGAGAGGUGAGUGGAAUUCCCAGUGUAGCGGUGAAAUGCGUAGAUAUCUGGAGGAAUACCGGUGGCGAAGGCGGCAUCCUGGACCGGCAUUGACGCCGAGGAGCGAAAGCCAGGGGAGCAAACGGG